rnacentral:rRNA from 1 species
UGGGGAAUUUUGGACAAUGGGCGCAAGCCUGAUCCAGCCAUGCCGCGUGCGGGAAGAAGGCCUUCGGGUUGUAAACCGCUUUUGUCAGGGAAGAAAUCUUCUGAGUUAAUACCUCGGGAGGAUGACGGUACCUGAAGAAUAAGCACCGGCUAACUACGUGCCAGCAGCCGCGGUAAUACGUAGGGUGCAAGCGUUAAUCGGAAUUACUGGGCGUAAAGCGUGCGCAGGCGGUUUUGUAAGACAGAGGUGAAAUCCCCGGGCUCAACCUGGGAACUGCCUUUGUGACUGCAAGGCUUGAGUGCGGCAGAGGGGAUGGAAUUCCGCGUGUAGCAGUGAAAUGCGUAGAUAUGCGGAGGAACACCGAUGGCGAAGGCAAUCCCCUGGGCCUGCACUGACGCUCAUGCACGAAAGCGUGGGGAGCAAACAGGAUUAGAUAGCCCUGGUAGUCCACGCCCUAAACGAUGUCAACUGGUUGUUGGGAAGGUUCCUUCUCAGUAACGUGAGCUAACGCGUGAAGUUGACCGCCUGGGGAGUACGGCCGCAAGGUUGAAAC